rnacentral:rRNA from 1 species
GAUGAACGCUGGCGGCGUGCCUAAUACAUGCAAGUCGAGCGAACGGACGAGAAGCUUGCUUCUCUGAUGUUAGCGGCGGACGGGUGAGUAACACGUGGAUAACCUACCUAUAAGACUGGGAUAACUUCGGGAAACCGGAGCUAAUACCGGAUGAUAUUUUGAACCGCAUGGUUCAAAAGUGAAAGACGGUCUUGCUGUCACUUAUAGAUGGAUCCGCGCUGCAUUAGCUAGUUGGUAAGGUAACGGCUUACCAAGGCAACGAUGCAUAGCCGACCUGAGAGGGUGAUCGGCCACACUGGAACUGAGACACGGUCCAGACUCCUACGGGAGGAAGCAGUAGGGAAUCUUCCGCAAUGGGCGAAAGCCUGACGGAGCAACGCCGCGUGAGUGAUGAAGGUCUUCGGAUCGUAAAACUCUGUUAUUAGGGAAGAACAUAUGUGUAAGUAACUGUGCACAUCUUGACGGUACCUAAUCAGAAAGCCACGGCUAACUACGUG